rnacentral:lncRNA from 1 species
CAUAUUUAAUUCCAAAUCAAAUGUUUUUAUUUCAUUGAUAAAUGAUUUUGUCCCUUUUGAUUUUCCCAUUGUAAUACAUUCCGAUUAUCUCGCAUGUGAAAAUAGUUCCCAAUUUUUACUGCAAUCUCACUUCUGUAUUCCAGUUGAAGAUUUAAUUCAAGGUACUUUAACUAAUUGGUUAUACUGUGAAGGGAAAUUCAUAAUGUAUUUUUGCAUUUAAACAUAAGAGAGAGUUGAUAAAGUUACACGAUAAUUAUUUUAGUACAGAAAAAUAUACUUAUU